AGAGUUUGAUCAUGGCUCAGAUUGAACGCUGGCGGCAUGCCUUACACAUGCAAGUCGAACGGUAACAGGUCUUCGGAUGCUGACGAGUGGCGAACGGGUGAGUAAUACAUCGGAACGUGCCCGAGAGUGGGGGAUAACGGAGCGAAAGCUUUGCUAAUACCGCAUACGAUCUACGGAUGAAAGCAGGGGACCGCAAGGCCUUGCGCGGACGGAGCGGCCGAUGGCAGAUUAGGUAGUUGGUGGAUAAAAGCUUACCAAGCCGACGAUCUGUAGCUGGUCUGAGAGGACGACCAGCCACACUGGGACUGAGACACGGCCCAGACUCCUACGGGAGGCAGCAGUGGGGAAUUUUGGACAAUGGGCGAAAGCCUGAUCCAGCCAUGCCGCGUGCAGGAUGAAGGCCUUCGGGUUGUAAACUGCUUUUGUACGGAACGAAAAGACUCCUUCUAAUAAAGGGGGUCCAUGACGGUACCGUAAGAAUAAGCACCGGCUAACUACGUGCCAGCAGCCGCGGUAAUACGUAGGGUGCAAGCGUUAAUCGGAAUUACUGGGCGUAAAGCGUGCGCAGGCGGUUAUAUAAGACAGAUGUGAAAUCCCCGGGCUCAACCUGGGAACUGCAUUUGUGACUGUAUAGCUAGAGUACGGCAGAGGGGGAUGGAAUUCCGCGUGUAGCAGUGAAAUGCGUAGAUAUGCGGAGGAACACCGAUGGCGAAGGCAAUCCCCUGGGCCUGUACUGACGCUCAUGCACGAAAGCGU
rnacentral:rRNA from 1 species